rnacentral:rRNA from 1 species
GACGAACGCUGGCGGCGUGCUUAACACAUGCAAGUCGAACGCUGAAGCCCUUUCGGGGGUGGAUGAGUGGCGAACGGGUGAGUAACACGUGGGUAAUCUGCCCUGCACUCUGGGAUAAGCCUUGGAAACGGGGUCUAAUACCGGAUAGGACACAUCGCCGCAUGGUGUGUGUGUGGAAAGUUCCGGCGGUGCAGGUUGAGCCCGCGGCCUAUCAGCUUGUUGGUGGGGUGAUGGCCUACCAAGGCGACGACGGGUAGCCGGCCUGAGAGGGUGAACGGCCACACUGGGACUGAGACACGGCCCAGACUCCUACGGGAGGCAGCAGUGGGGAAUCUUGCGCAAUGGGCGAAAGCCUGACGCAGCAACGCCGCGUGGGGGAUGACGGCCUUCGGGUUGUAAACCUCUUUCGACCGGGACGAAGGGUGACUGACGGUACCGGUAGAAGAAGCACCGGCUAACUACGUGCCAGCCGCCGCCGUAA